AGCUCGUGUCGUGAGAUGUGGGUUAAGUCCCGCAACGAGCGCAACCCCUGCAUUCAGUUGCCAUCGGGUGAAGCCGGGCACUCUGGAAGGACCUGCCAUCGACAAGAUGGAGGAAGGUGGGGACGACGUCAAGUCAUCAUGGCCCUUAUGUCCAGGGCGACACACGUGCUACAAUGGCCGGCACAACGGGAAGCGAGUUCGCGAGGACGAGCGGAUCCCUUAAAGCCGGUCGCAGUUCGGAUUGAAGUCUGCAACUCGACUUCAUGAAGCUGGAAUCGCUAGUAAUCGCAGAUCAGCCAAGCUGCGGUGAAUACGUUCCCGGGCCUU
rnacentral:rRNA from 1 species